ACUCCUGCGGGAGGCAGCAGUGGGGAAUUUUGGACAAUGGGCGAAAGCCUGAUCCAGCAAUGCCGCGUGAGUGAAGAAGGCCUUCGGGUUGUAAAGCUCUUUUGUCAGGGAAGAAACGGUGAAAGCUAAUAUCUUUUGCUAAUGACGGUACCUGAAGAAUAAGCACCGGCUAACUACGUGCCAGCAGCCGCGGUAAUACGUAGGGUGCAAGCGUUAAUCGGAAUUACUGGGCGUAAAGCGUGCGCAGGCGGUUUUGUAAGUCUGAUGUGAAAUCCCCGGGCUCAACCUGGGAAUUGCAUUGGAGACUGCAAGGCUAGAAUCUGGCAGAGGGGGGUAGAAUUCCACGUGUAGCAGUGAAAUGCGUAGAUAUGUGGAGGAACACCGAUGGCGAAGGCAGCCCCCUGGGUCAAGAUUGACGCUCAUGCACGAAAGCGUGGGGAGCAAACAGGAUUAAAAACCCUUGUAGUCCCAUG
rnacentral:rRNA from 1 species